rnacentral:lncRNA from 1 species
AGAUAAAAUACAGGACAUCAAAGAUAUCACAUACAUUCAUAUAUCUCAAGAAAUGAAAGCAAUGAAAGAGCUGUGAUAUGAUCCAUAUUUUUUGUUUAUUGACAACUAAUGCAAAAUUCCAAACAAUAAUGAAGCAACUACAGAUUUGGGGAAAAUAGUAAAUCAGAAAGAGCAAUUGACCGGCUAAUUUUUUUGUAUUUUUAGUAGAGACGGGGUUUCACAGUGUUAGCCAGGAUGGUCUCAAUCUUCUGACCUCAUAAUCCACCUAUCUUGGCCUCCCAAAGUGCUGGGAUUACAGGUGUGAGCCACUGCGCCCGAAUAAAGAAAACUGAAGAAAUGUAGCAGAUAAAUGCAAUAUGUGACCCUGAUUUUGAUCCUAGUUAAAAAACGUUAGUGGAACCAUGAACAAAAUAUGUAAAUAAGGUCUGUAGGUAAGUAACUAAUUCCAUAUCAAUUUCCUAAUGUGAGUAACUGUACUCUUAGAUAUGGUGUUGGCAGUCAAGAAGCUGGGUGAAGAAUAUAUAGGAAUUCUUGAUUUUUUAAAAUAUAUUUUUGUAAGCUUUAAAGUAGUUCAAAAUGAAAAUUUUAAAAUAAAAUGAAUAAAAAAGAAAAAGGAUAGUAUGGAUCUUCUGAAGUAUUGUGCUAAAUAUGAAAUUCAUGGUCCAUCCCUGAGGUCUUUUAUAUUACAGUGUUUAAGAUAUAAAAUAAAUGUAAAGAAAACCA